AAACUGCGAAUGGCUCAUUAAAUCAGUUAUCGUUCAUUUGAUAGUACCUUACUACUUGGAUAACCGUGGUAAUUCUAGAGCUAAUACAUGCUAAAAACCCCGACUUCGGGAGGGGUGUAUUUAUUAGAUAAAAAACCAAUGCCCUCCGGGGCUUCUUGGUGAUUCAUGAUAACUUAACAGAUCGCAUGGCCUUGCGCCGGCGACGGUUCAUUCAAAUUUCUGCCCUAUCAACUUUCGAUGGUAAGGUAUUGGCUUACCAUGGUUUCAACGGGUAACGGGGAAUUAGGGUUCGAUUCCGGAGAGGGAGCCUGAGAAACGGCUACCACAUCCAAGGAAGGCAGCAGGCGCGCAAAUUACCCAAUCCCGACACGGGGAGGUAGUGACAAUAAAUACUGAUACAGAGCUCUUUAGGGUUUUGUAAUCGGAAUGAGUACAAUUUAAAUUCCUUAACGAGGAACAAUUGGAGGGCAAGUCUGGUG
rnacentral:rRNA from 1 species